UACAGAGGGUGCGAGCGUUGUUCGGAAUUAUUGGGCGUAAAGGGCGCGUAGGCGGUGCCGCAAGUCACCUGUGAAAUCUCCUGGCUCAACUGGGAGCUUGCAGGCGAAACUGUGGUGCUGGAGUGUGGGAGAGGUGCGUGGAAUUCCUGGUGUAGCGGUGAAAUGCGUAGAUAUCAGGAGGAACACCUGUGGCGAAAGCGGCGCACUGGACCACAACUGACGCUGAGGCGCGAAAGCUAGGGGAGCAAACAGG
rnacentral:rRNA from 1 species